AUUGAACGCUGGCGGCAUGCCUUACACAUGCAAGUCGAACGGUAACGCGGGGCAACCUGGCGACGAGUGGCGAACGGGUGAGUAAUGCAUCGGAACGUGCCCAGUAGUGGGGGAUAGCCCGGCGAAAGCCGGAUUAAUACCGCAUACGACCUACGGGUGAAAGGGGGGGAUCGCAAGACCUCUCGCUAUUGGAGCGGCCGAUGUCAGAUUAGGUAGUUGGUGGGGUAAAGGCCUACCAAGCCGACGAUCUGUAGCUGGUCUGAGAGGACGACCAGCCACACUGGGACUGGGACACGGCCCAGACUCCUACGGGAGGCAGCAGUGGGGAAUUUUGGACAAUGGGCGAAAGCCUGAUCCAGCCAUGCCGCGUGCGGGAAGAAGGCCUUCGGGUUGUAAACCGCUUUUGUCAGGGAAGAAAUCUUCUGGGUUAAUACCUCGGGAGGAUGACGGUACCUGAAGAAUAAGCACCGGCUAACUACGUGCCAGCCGCCGCAGUAAAAC
rnacentral:rRNA from 1 species